GCGGCGAACGGGUGAGUAACACGUGAGCAACCUGCCCCAAGCUUUGGGAUAACCCCGGGAAACCGGGGCUAAUACCGAAUAUUACCUGGCCUCGCAUGAGGUUGGGUGGAAAGUUUUUCGGCUUGGGAUGGGCUCGCGGCCUAUCAGCUUGUUGGUGGGGUGAUGGCCUACCAAGGCGACGACGGGUAGCCGGCCUGAGAGGGCGACCGGCCACACUGGGACUGAGACACGGCCCAGACUCCUACGGGAGGCAGCAGUGGGGAAUAUUGCACAAUGGGCGGAAGCCUGAUGCAGCGACGCCGCGUGAGGGAUGACGGCCUUCGGGUUGUAAACCUCUUUCAGCAGGGACGAAGCGAGAGUGACGGUACCUGCAGAAGAAGCGCCGGCCAACUACGUGCCAGCAGCCGCGGUAAGACGUAGGGCGCGAGCGUUGUCCGGAUUUAUUGGGCGUAAAGAGCUCGUAGGCGGCUUGUCGCGUCGACCGUGAAAACUUGGGGCUCAACCCCAAGCCUGCGGUCGAUACGGGCAGGCUAGAGUUCGGUAGGGGAGACUGGAAUUCCUGGUGUAGCGGUGAAAUGCGCAGAUAUCAGGAGGAACACCGGUGGCGAAGGCGGGUCUCUGGGCCGAUACUGACGCUGAGG
rnacentral:rRNA from 1 species